GUGCUUAACACAUGCAAGUCGAACGCGCAGUUCUCUGUAGCAAUACAGGGGAUGGGCGCGUGGCGAACGGGUGCGUAACACGUGGAUAACCUUCCUUCAGGUGGGGAAUAACCCAGUGAAAAUUGGGCUAAUACCGCAUAACAUGACGAUGGCACAUGCCGUUGUCUUCAAAGCCGCAAGGCGCCAGAUGAGGGAUCCGCGGCCGAUUAGCUUGUUGGCGAGGUAAUGGCUCACCAAGGCUUUGAUCGGUAGCCGGACUGAGAGGUUGACCGGCCACACUGGAACUGAGACACGGUCCAG
rnacentral:rRNA from 1 species